rnacentral:rRNA from 1 species
GACGUAGGGUGCGAGCGUUGUCCGGAUUUAUUGGGCGUAAAGAGCUCGUAGGCGGCUCGUCGCGUCGACCGUGAAAACCCGCAGCUUAACUGCGGGCUUGCGGUUGAUACGGGCGGGCUAGAGUUCGGUAGGGGUAGAGGGAAUUCCUGGUGUAGCGGUGAAAUGCGCAGAUAUCAGGAAGAACACCUAUGGCGAAGGCAGCUCUCUGGGACGGUACUGACGCUGAGACGCGAAAGCGUGGGGAGCGAACAGG